rnacentral:tRNA from 1 species
GGAGGGGUUCCCGAGUGGUCAAAGGGACCAGACUGUAAAUCUGAUGGCUUAGCCUUCGAAGGUUCGAAUCCUUCCCCCUCCACCA